UACGUAGGGGGGCUAGCGUUGUCCGGAAUCAUUGGGCGUAAAGCGCGCGUAGGCGGCCCGGUAAGUCCGCUGUGAAAGUCAAAGGCUCAACCUUUGAAUGUCAGCGGAUACUGCCGGGCUAGAGUCCGGAAGAGGCGAGUGGAAUUCCUGGUGUAGCGGUGGAAUGCGCAGAUAUCAGGAGGAACACCAACGGCGAAGGCAGCUCGCUGGGACGGUACUGACGCUGAGGCGCGAAAGCAUGGGGAGCGAACAGG
rnacentral:rRNA from 1 species